rnacentral:rRNA from 1 species
CCUACGGGUGGCAGCAGUGGGGGAUAUUGCACAAUGGGGGAAACCCUGAUGCAGCGACGCCGCGUGAGUGAAGAAGUAUUUUGGUAUGUAAAGCGCUAUCAGCAGGGAAGAAAAAAGACGGUACCUGACUAAGAAGCCCCGGCUAACUACGUGCCAGCAGCCGGGGCAAUACGUAGGGGGGAAGCGUUAUACGGAUUUACUGGGUGAAAAGGACGCGUAGACGGCAAUACAAAUUGUAAGUGAAGUACCCGGUCUCAACCCGCGAACUGCUUUGGAAACUGUCUGGCUUGAGUGCUGGAGAGGUAAGCGGAAUGCCUAGUGUAGCGGUGAAAUGCGUAGAUAUUAGGAGGAACACCAGUGGCGAAGGCGGCUUACUGGACAGUAACUGACGUUGAGGCUCGAAAGCGUGGGGAGCAAACAGGAUUAGAUACCCCAGUAGUC